GGCGAACGGGUGAGUAACACGUGGGUGAUCUGCCCUGCACUUCGGGAUAAGCCUGGGAAACUGGGUCUAAUACCGGAUAGGACGAUGGUUUGGAUGCCAUUGUGGAAAGUUUUUCGGUGUGGGAUGAGCUCGCGGCCUACCAGCUUGUUGGUGGGGUAAUGGCCUACCAAGGCGUCGACGGGUAGCCGGCCUGAGAGGGUGUACGGCCACAUUGGGACUGAGAUACGGCCCAG
rnacentral:rRNA from 1 species